rnacentral:rRNA from 1 species
UACGUAGGGUGCAAGCGUUGUCCGGAAUUAUUGGGCGUAAAGAGCUCGUAGGCGGUCUGUCGCGUCGGCUGUGAAAACUCGGGGCUCAACCCCGAGCCUGCAGUCGAUACGGGCAGACUAGAGUGCUGUAGGGGAGACUGGAAUUCCUGGUGUAGCGGUGAAAUGCGCAGAUAUCAGGAGGAACACCGAUGGCGAAGGCAGCUCGCUGGGACGGUACUGACGCUGAGACGCGAAAGCGUGGGGAGCGAACAGG